GUGUUGUAUGAAAGGAGAGAAGGUUAGCACUCCCCUUGAUAAGGAUGGAAGAGGUCCUAGUGACCUUUACAACACGCAUAUGGUUAAGGCAUUGCCACUUACUUCGUGGCAUCUAACCAAGUUUUUUU
ensembl:snRNA